GAGGUGGGAGGAUUGCUUGAGCCUGGGAGGUAGAGGCUGCAGUGAACUGAGAUCAUGCCACUGCACUCCAGCCUGAGUGACAGAGUGAGAACCUGUCUC
ensembl:miRNA